CGGGGAUUUGGCAUGGGCGAAAGCCUGAUCAGCAAUGCCGCGUGUGUGAAGAAGGCCUUCGGGUUGUAAAGCACUUUUGUCCGGAAAGAAAUGGCUCUGGUUAAUACCUGGGGUCGAUGACGGUACCGGAAGAAUAAGGACCGGCUAACUACGUGCCAGCAGCCGCGGUAAUACGUAGGGUCCAAGCGUUAAUCGGAAUUACUGGGCGUAAAGCGUGCGCAGGCGGUUGUGCAAGACCGAUGUGAAAUCCCCGAGCUUAACUUGGGAAUUGCAUUGGUGACUGCACGGCUAGAGUGUGUCAGAGGGGGGUAGAAUUCCACGUGUAGCAGUGAAAUGCGUAGAGAUGUGGAGGAAUACCGAUGGCGAAGGCAGCCCCCUGGGAUAACACUGACGCUCAUGCACGAAAGCGU
rnacentral:rRNA from 1 species